GUGAGGAAUAUUGGUCAAUGGACGAGAGUCUGAACCAGCCAAGUCGCGUGAAGGAAGACGGUUCUAUGAAUUGUAAACUUCUUUUGUGCAGGAAUAAAGUGGGUUACGUGUAACCUUUUGUAUGUACUGUACGAAUAAGGAUCGGCUAACUCCGUGCCAGCAGCCGCGGUAAUACGGAGGAUCCGAGCGUUAUCCGGAUUUAUUGGGUUUAAAGGGUGCGUAGGUGGAUUGAUAAGUCAGCGGUGAAAGUUUGCAGCUUAACUGUAAAAUUUCCGUUGAAACUGUCGGUCUUGAGUGCAAAUGAGGUAGGCGGAAUGUGUUGUGUAGCGGUGAAAUGCUUAGAUAUAACACAGAACUCCGAUUGCGAAGGCAGCUUACUGGGAUGCAACUGACACUGAUGCACGAAAGCGUGGGUAUCAAACAGGAUUAGAUACCCGAGUAGUCC
rnacentral:rRNA from 1 species